UACGAAGGGGGCUAGCGUUGCUCGGAAUCACUGGGCGUAAAGGGCGCGUAGGCGGCUUAUCAAGUCGGGGGUGAAAUACUUCAGCUUAACUGGAGAAGUGCCUUCGAUACUGGUGGGCUUGAGGGAGGUAGGGGUCUGUGGAACUUCUGGUGGAGCGGUGAAAUGCGUUGAUAUCAGAAGGAACGCCGGUGGCGAAAGCGACGGACUGGACCUCUUCUGACGCUGAGGCGCGAAAGCUAGGGGAGCAAACGGG
rnacentral:rRNA from 1 species